rnacentral:rRNA from 1 species
CAGUAGCCGCGGGAAUACGAAGGGGGCUAGCGUUGCUCGGAAUUACUGGGCGUAAAGCGCACGUAGGCUGCUUGGUAAGUUAGAGGUGAAAGCCUGGAGCUCAACUCCAGAAUUGCCUUUAAGACUGCCGAGCUAGAACGUCGGAGAGGUGAGUGGAAUUCCGAGUGUAGAGGUGAAAUUCGCAGAUAUUCGGAAGAACACCAGUGGCGAAGGCGGCUCACUGGACGACUGUUGACGCUGAGGUGCGAAAGCGUGGGGAGCAAACAGGAUUAGAGACCCCUGUAGUCCCUGUCUCUUAUAC